rnacentral:rRNA from 1 species
GACGAACGCUGGCGGCGUGCUUAACACAUGCAAGUCGAACGAUGAACCCGGAGCUUGCUCUGGGGGAUUAGUGGCGAACGGGUGAGUAACACGUGAGUAACCUGCCCUGGACUCUGGGAUAAGCGUUGGAAACGACGUCUAAUACCGGAUAGGACCUUGGAUCGCAUGAUCUGGGGUGGAAAGUUUUUUCGGUCUGGGAUGGACUCGCGGCCUAUCAGCUUGUUGGUGAGGUAAUGGCUCACCAAGGCGUCGACGGGUAGCCGGCCUGAGAGGGUGACCGGCCACACUGGGACUGAGACACGGCCCAGACUCCUACGGGAGGCAGCAGUGGGGAAUAUUGCACAAUGGGCGAAAGCCUGAUGCAGCAACGCCGCGUGCGGGAUGACGGCCUUCGGGUUGUAAACCGCUCUUAGUAGGGAAGAAGGGCUUCGGCUUGACGGUACCUGCAGAAAAAGGACCGGCUAACUACGUG